rnacentral:ncRNA from 2 species
GGCUAUAAUGCCCGCGUUGUCCGGCUCUUUCAAAUGAGGCUGUUAAAGGAACCCGGUGUGAGUCCGGGGCUGCCCCGCAACGGUAAUUGGCAAAAGCCAUAAGUCCGGUCGAUUGGCGGCCUCCAUCCGUUGUU